UAUUAAUACUUGAAUAGAAUCUUUUCAAAACCUUUCUCCUCUUGACACAAGGGAAGGAGGUUCCUCAGCAAAGUGGGAUUUUUGGCAUGCACAGCUGAGCACAGAAGUGCAGGUUUCAGAAGAGGUUCCACCCAGCCCUGCUGCAGCCUGCUGAGCCCUGGAGCACGACGCUGGCUUGGUGUGACACAGGUACUGCAGUGACAAACCUGUGACAGCUCUGCUCUGCAGGACGCUCUAAGGACAUUUGCUGAGGAGUUUCCCUGAAGAGUCACCUGCUGAGCACCUUCCUGUCCAAUUCCUGCUAAAGAAAUCAAGCACCACAGUGCAGACAGAUAUGUAGUACCCAGUUCACAGGGUAUUUCAUCAGUUGCUUUAACAUCCAGGAAGGUUUUUACAUCAGUUCUGCAAGUGUCAGCUCACUGUAAUGCACCACUUUGGGAAGAGUGAGUCAAAUGCAGCCAUUUUGAGUGUUUGAGAGGAACUGAUCAGGAACACAACAAUGAACUGCAAUGUGGAUUCCACACCUGCACAGAAAUAAAUGCAGUGCCUACAGCAGCAGUGCUGAUCCUUCACAACUGAACUGUAUUGUCAGCUGUGUGGGGGGCAGAUACAACAACAGCACCAACAGCAAGGGCUGCAAGAGGCUGGUAGCUUUUCUGAAAGCCUCCAUGAGGCUUCCAGCUUCUCAGGAGGGAAAGGAGGAAAACAAAGAUGUGCCUCUAAAAUGGUGAGCAAAUGGUCACUUUAGGACUGCAGCUGUUUCUCUCUGCAGGAGGCACAGAGAAGACACCAGAAGAGUAUUUGGCAAAGAUGUUCAAUACA